rnacentral:rRNA from 1 species
UUAUUUUUAGUUGCCAGCCUUCAGUUGGGCCCUUUAGUGAGACUGCCGUGCGUCAAGCACGGAGGAAGGCGGGGAUGACGUCAAAUCAUCAUGCCCCUUAUGACCUGGGGUACCCACGUGGUACAAUGGCUGGUACCACGGGACGCAAGCCCGGGAGGGUAAGCCAAUUUCUUAAAACCAUUCUCAUUUCGGAUUGCAGGCUGCAACUCGCCUGCAUGAAGUCGGAAUCGCUAGUAAUCGCGGAUCAGCAUGCCGCGGUGAAUACUUUCCCGGGCCUUGUACACACCGCCCGUCACACCAGGAGAGUUUGCAACACCCGAAGUCGCGUGAGGUAACCGCAAGGAGCCAGCC